GGGGGGCAUUUAAGCUCUUUUUGGCCGGUUUUGAGCAUUUUCCACAGGACGAAGGUUGAUUUUGACUAAUUUUGACAGUUUUUGUUAGGCCCCCAUUGACAGGUUUAACCCUGUUCAGAGUGGUUUUGAAGGGUCAGCGGCCCUCCUGGUUCCUCCGAACCCGGGUUUUGCGCGGUUUUGAAGGGUUGGCUGCCUUCCUAUGCCCCCUUAGCCUGGUUCUAAGUGGUUUUUUACAGUUUUGAAGUGUUUCGAAUUUAUUGGUUGCAUUUUUUUGCGGUUCUAAGCUAUAUUCAGGGGUUUGCAAUUAAUCAGGUAUGAUUUUUUGCAUUUUUGARGGGUUUCCGGGCCUCCGGGAGCUGUUUCAGCAAGAAUACUCAUGUUUUGGCCCACCGUGAACCCGUUUCCGAGGGUCUGGAGCCCAUGUCUUGCCCCCGAAUGCCAUUUUGGUCUACAUACACCCAUUUUGGCACACUGUGAAUCCAACUGAGCUGCUUUUGGAGCCCUAUCUACCUAUCUUGUACUAGUUUCACGGGGUUCUUUCUCCAUCAGACCGAUUGGACACCGAGACAUGCCUUUGCAGGACACCCUCCGGCCCCGGCCCCACAACGGUCAGUGCACGGGAGACGGGUGUCUGCACACUAGUGUGUUUGCCUCUAGAGUAUGGCUACCACUGGCAAGCGCACCUGCCACGGCCCAAGACUCGAACUAUUGGUGACGGGACCGAGCGGAAGACUGAGUCUCAGCGGUACUUACACAGAUCCUGGAAAUGAAGGUGUCCUGCCUGUGUCCUGCCCAUUGCCCUCUGGUGGUGGACGCUACCUGAUUGAUCCUGCCAGUAGCAUAUGCUUGUCUCAAAGAUUAAGGCAUGCACAUCUAAGUACACAUGGCUGGUACAGUGAAACCGCGAAUGGCUCAUUAAACCAGUUUUUGCUCCUUUGAUCAUUCACCGGUACUUGGAUAAUUUUGGCAAUUCUAGGGCUAAUACAUGCAAACGAGCGCUGACCUCCGGGGAUGCGUGCAUUGAUCAGAUCUAAAACCCUUGCGGGGUGGUCUCCCGGCUAUAACCCCAUUGCUUUGGUGACUCUAGAUAACCUCGAGCUAAUCGCUAGCCCCCUUGGUGGCGACAUCUCUUUCGGGUGUCUGCUCUAUGGCACGCCACAUGCCUGCCAUGGUUACAACGGGUAAUGGGGAAUCAGGGUUCAAUUCCAGAGAGGGAGCCUGAGAAACGACUUCCACAUCCAAGGAAGGCAGCAGGCGCACAAAUUACCCACUCCCAAUUCGGGGAGGUAGUGAUGAAAAAUAAUAAUACAGGACUUUUGAGGUCCUGUAAUUGGAAUGAGUGCACUUUAAAUCAUUUAAUGGGGAUCCAUUGGAGGGCAAGUCUGGCGCCAGCAGAAGCGGUAAUUCCAGCUCCAAUAGCUUCUUAUCUUAAAGUUGCUGCAGUUAAAAAGCUCGUAGUUGGAUCUCGGGAUCGGGCUGAUGGCUCGUAUCGAGGCGUGCCAUGCCACUGUCUGUCCCAGCCCCUGCCUCUCGGCACCCCCCGGAUGCUCUUACCUGAGUGUCCAGCCGGAGUCCGAAGCGUUUACUUAGAAAAAAUUAGAGUGUUCAAAGCAGGCCCGGUUUCCUGAAUACCGCAGCUAGGACUAAUGGAAUAGGACUCCGGUUCUAUUUUGUGGGUUUUCCCCGAACUGAACAUGAUUAAGAGAGACCAUUCGUAUUGUGCCGCCAGAGGUGAAAUUCUUGGACCGGCGCAAGACAGACGAAAGGGAUAGCAUUUGUCAAGAAUGUUUUCAUUAUUGAAGAACGAAAGUCGGAGGUUCGAAGACAAUCAGAUACCAUUGUAGUUCCGAUCAUAAACGAUGUCGACUAGCGAUCCGGUGGCGCUACUCACCAUGACCCGCCGGGCAGCAUCUGGGAAACCAAAGUCUUUGGGUUCCAGGGGAGUAUGGUUGCAAAGCUGAAACUUAAAGGAAUUGAUGGUAGGGCACCACCAGGAGUGGAGUCUGUGGCUUAAUUUUACUCAACAUGGGAAACCUCACCCGGUCCAGAAAUGGAAAGGAUUGACAGAUUGAUAGCUCUUUCUCAAUAUUGUCGGUGGUGGUGGUGCAUGGCCAGCGCGUGUCUACCCUUAACCGAGAGGCGUGGGUAACCUGCUGAACCCCGCUCAUGAUGGGGAUUGGUGAUUGCAACUAUUUCCCAUGAACGAGGAAUUAAGUGCGGGUCAUAAGCUUGCGUUGAUUAAGUCCCUACCCUUUGUACAGAUUGCCCAUCGCUACUACCAAUUGGAUGGUUUAGUGAGGUCCUCGGAUCGGCCCCCGGGUAUCGGCAAUGGUCCCUGCGGAGGGCUGAGAAGACGAUUAAACUUGACUAUCUAGAGGAAGUUAAAGCCAUAACAAGGUUUCCAUAGGUGAACCUAUGGAAGGAUCAUUACCGUUGUUUGAGAGCCGAGACCCACUUGCAGGGCACUGGACUGUGGAGUACCACCCACCUGGGGUCAAGCUGCUCGUUGUCCCUACCAAGCGCUCUGGCCUGGAGCGGCCGUCGGUUGUGUGGCCCGUCGUCGACCACCUGGGGUGGACUUCCACUACUGGACUGAGGGGCGGCGGACCCGCAUCAGUGAUGCUCUGGGCCAUAAGAGCACCCACGGGUCCACAGUGAAGGUCGUAGAACAUGCCCCUCCGUUGCCCGGAACACGUCAGGGGCCCCGGGCGAUGUGAGCGCGCCCCGUGAGACGUGCCCCUCCGUCAUCCGGAGCCCCUCAUGGGCCCCGGGCAAUGCGAGCGUGCCCCCUUCUCUCUACCACAGUCUCCUAGUCUGGGCACUGCUGCCUGCUGGACUCACGAGUUGCACGUCCAACGCCGCCUCCGCACUGCGCGAGGCCCACUACCACAUUACCCCGGGUUGGAGGGGGAUCGUAGGAUGUGGGCCUCGCAUGGAGACUGGCGAUGGGCGACUGCGCCCCACGACUCAGCCAGAGUCUACCCUAGGAACCUGAAAACGCAGCAUGGUGGACAGCAUCCACUCCGGCUGAACACCGCGUGCCUCCAUGGGUGCCCUUACUCUCUCCCUCAGCCUGGAAGAAGAGAGGGGCUUAAUACCUCCUCCCUGCCCCUUCCGGGGCGUAGUGUGGAGUGCCCGGGAGAUGGGAAGACCCGGUUAAACCUUUGUCUCAGAUCCCGGUCAACCUCAAAAUCUCAGACAACUUCUAGCGGUGGAUUACUCAGCUCGUGAGUCGAUGAAGGACGCAGCCAGCUGUGAGAACUAAUGUGAUUUGCAGGACACAUUGACCAUCAACACUUCGAAUGCACCUUGCGGCCCCGGGUCCAUCCUGGGGCUUCGCGUGUCUGAGGGUCGCUCGGUCAUCAAUCAGACACGGCUUGCCGUGACCGCGGUUGGGGCUUUGCAGGUAGAGGGCUUGUCUUCACACCUUUGUCCCCCUAAGUGCAGACAUGUCGGGUUGCCCAGCACGCAAUCGUCUGGCCCCAUCCGGGACCGUACCUCCAUCGUCCGCAAUGCCUCCGUUCCAUUUUCCCUCCCUCCUCGACCCGGUCUCUGACCGGUGCAGGAGGGGCGGCUUCUUCGUCGAGCUCCUGCACGAGGCGCAGAUCGGCCGCCAGUGGAACUUGUUCCUCCUAGUUGUCUGUUUCUGCUUCCCGAACGCACAGGCUGUCUCGGCGGAGGUGUUGUGGGUAGGACUGCAGGGGAAGCUCCAGUGUGGGCAAUGUGUCGGACCCUAGGUAGGCCACGUCAUCUCUCCGGAACAAACGUCCCGUUGCCCCUGAGUCAGUGAGCCUCCAGCCCUCCCCGGAGGGUCCCUGAGCCACGCACACAAACCCUAUCCAAUGACCUCAGAUCAGACAAGAUGACCCGCUGAAUUUAAGCAUAUUACUAAGUGGAGGAAAAGAAACUAACAAGGAUUCCCUCAGUAGCGGCGAGCGAAGAGGGAAGAGCCCAGCGCUGAAUCCCCGUCCAUCUGGCGGACGCGAGACAUGUGGCAUACAGGAGACCGCCUGCCCAGUGCACUUGAGGGUCUGAGUCCUCUUGACUGACGCUCAACCCGUGGAAGGUGCGAGGCCAAUGUCGGCCCUCGGCACACUGGGCUCCGGUCUCCUCGGAGUCGGGUUGUUUGGGAAUGCAGCCCAAAGCCAGUGGUAAACUCCAUCUAAGGCUAAAUACCGUGACGAGACCGAUAGCAGACAAGAGUGAUUCUAGCCGAUUAUGGGCCUGUUUGGAGGGAACAUCGUUGUUUUGCAGUGAUGACUCUGAGAAACUUUGG